rnacentral:pre_miRNA from 14 species
UUCUGUUGUGGAAUUGAAAGACCCCCGGAGCAGGGAUACCCUCACUCAAGUCUCGGGGUGACGCGACCCCCCAAGAACUCACACAAGACC